UACGUAUGGUGCAAGCGUUGUCCGGAAUUGUUGGGCGUAAAGAGCUCGUAGGCGGUUUGUCGCGUCUGCUGUGAAAACCCGAGGCUCAACCUCGGGCCUGCAGUGGGUACGGGCAGACUAGAGUGCGGUAGGGGAGAUUGGAAUUCCUGGUGUAGCGGUGGAAUGCGCAGAUAUCAGGAGGAACACCAAUGGCGAAGGCAGAUCUCUGGGCCGUAACUGACGCUGAGGAGCGAAAGCAUGGGGAGCGAACAGG
rnacentral:rRNA from 1 species